rnacentral:sRNA from 1 species
GGGAGAGAGCACUCCCCUAGAGCCAGGAGGUUCUUCUGGGCCACGGGUGGCAGCCAAGAUCCCAGGCUGCCAAGUUUCCUAAGAGAAGGAAGGCCAGCACCUCGCCUCCUUGUCCUGACUUGGGGUUGGGCCAGCACCACAGUCUUUGCACUUCAGAGCCUGGACAGGCCCCGCUCAUCCACCAGCCCGUGCCCGGCCCACUGCCCACUCUCCCCUACUUGAGAGGCCUGGGGUAGGGGCACUGCCCUGGCUUCAAGAUGAGAAGAGCCCCUUUGAGGGAGAAGGGUCCAGAAGGAAUGAGCCCAUCGGCCCCCUGCACGUGGGGGUCCAGGUGACCUGCUCUCAUCUGUAGCUGUGCCACUCCCCUCCCCCGCAACCAGGGCUACCAGUGGCUGAAGGACAAGAUCCUGAGUGAGGAGGGCCGGCGCCAGCAAGCCAAGCUGAAGGAGCUGCAGGCCAUCGCCGAGCGCCUGGGCUGCACCCUGCCCCAGCUGGCCAUAGCCUGGUGCCUGAGGAACGAGGGAGUCAGCUCCGUGCUCCUGGGGGCCUCCAACGCGGACCAGCUCAUGGAGAACAUUGGGGCAAUACAGGUCCUUCCAAAACUGUCGUCUUCCAUUAUCCAUGAGAUUGACAGUAUUUUGGGCAAUAAACCCUACAGCAAAAAGGACUACAGAUCCUAAGCCGCCCCCCACCUGCUCGGACAGUUUCCGUUCCCUCCCAGUCUCUGUCCGCUCGCUUAAGCUGUUUUGAAGCCAAGUGAAGAGUGUGGUUUGCAUCCAAGAGAAAACACCACACUGUGACGUCAUCGGGAAAUGAUCUCCCAAGUCGCUGCCAGACACCACCCACUGCUUCACUGGACGAUGUCGAAGUCCAGUCUGUGCCGGGGACGGCACUGGUUAGGAAGGACAUUCAA